AUUGAACGCUGGCGGCAGGCCUAACACAUGCAAGUCGAGCGGAUGAGAGGAGCUUGCUCCUUGAUUUAGCGGCGGACGGGUGAGUAAUGCCUAGGAAUCUGCCUGGUAGUGGGGGAUAACGUUCCGAAAGGAACGCUAAUACCGCAUACGUCCUACGGGAGAAAGCAGGGGACCUUCGGGCCUUGCGCUAUCAGAUGAGCCUAGGUCGGAUUAGCUAGUUGGUGAGGUAAUGGCUCACCAAGGCGACGAUCCGUAACUGGUCUGAGAGGAUGAGAAGUCACACUGGAACUGAGACACGGUCCAUACUCCUACGGGAGGCAGGAGUGGGGAAGAUUGGACAAUGGGCGAAAGCCUGAUCCAGCCAUGCCGCGUGUGUGAAGGAGGUCUUCGGAUUGUAAAGCACUUUAAGUUGGGAGGAAGGGCAUUAACCUAAUACGUUAGUGUUUUGACGUUACCGACAGAAUAAGCACCGGCUAACUUCGUGCCAGCCGCCGCCGUAAGAC
rnacentral:rRNA from 1 species